CCUACGGGAGGCAGCAGUGGGGAAUAUUGCACAAUGGGCGAAAGCCUGAUGCAGCGACGCCGCGUGAGGGAUGACGGCCUUCGGGUUGUAAACCUCUUUCAGCAGGGAAGAAGCGCAAGUGACGGUACCUGCAGAAGAAGCACCGGCUAACUACGUGCCAGCAGCCGCGGUAAUACGUAGGGUGCGAGCGUUGUCCGGAAUUAUUGGGCGUAAAGAGCUCGUAGGCGGUCUGUCACGUCGGAUGUGAAAGCCCGGGGCUUAACCCCGGGUCUGCAUUCGAUACGGGCAGACUAGAGUGUGGUAGGGGAGAUCGGAAUUCCUGGUGUAGCGGUGAAAUGCGCAGAUAUCAGGAGGAACACCGGUGGCGAAGGCGGAUCUCUGGGCCAUUACUGACGCUGAGGAGCGAAAGCGUGGGGAGCGAACAGGAUUAGAUACCCUGGUAGUCCACGCCGUAAACGUUGGGAACUAGGUGUUGGCGACAUUCCACGUCGUCGGUGCCGCAGCUAACGCAUUAAGUUCCCCGCCUGGGGAGUACGGCCGCAAGGCUAAACUUAAAUGAAUUGACGG
rnacentral:rRNA from 1 species